UACGGGGGGGGGCAAGCGUUGUUCGGAAUUACUGGGCGUAAAGGGCUCGUAGGCGGCCAACUAAGUCGGAUGUGAAAUCCCCAGGCUCAACUUGGGAACUGCAUCCGAUACUGGAUGGCUUGAAUCCGGGAGAGGGAUGCAGAAUUCCAGGUGUAGCGGUGAAAUGCGCAGAUAUCAGGAGGAACACCGGUGGCGAAGGCGGGUCUCUGGGCCGAUACUGACGCUGAGGAGCGAAAGCGUGGGGAGCGAACAGG
rnacentral:rRNA from 1 species